GAUGAACGCUGGCGGCGUGCCUAAUACAUGCAAGUCGAGCGAACAGACGAGGAGCUUGCUCCUCUGUCGUUAGCGGCGUACGGGUGAGUAACACGUGGAUAACCUACCUAUAAGACUGGGAUAACUUCGGGAAACCGGAGCUAAUACCGGAUAAUAUAUUUAACCGCAUUUUUCAAUAGUGAAAUACGGUGUUGCUGUCACUUAUAGAUGGAUCCGCGCCGCAUUAGCUAGUUGGUAAGGUAACGGCUUACCAAGGCAACGAUGCGUAGCCGAACUGAGAGGGUGAUCGGCCACACUGGAACUGAGACACGGUCCAGACUCCUAAGGGAGGCAGCAGUAGGGAAUCUUCCGCAAUGGGCGAAAGCCUGACGGAGCAACGCCGCGUGAGUGAUGAAGGUCUUCGGAUCGUAAAACUCUGUUAUUAGGGAAGAACAAAUGUGUAAGUAACUAUGCACGUCUUGACGGUACCUAAUCAGAAAGCCACGGCUAACUACGUG
rnacentral:rRNA from 1 species